UACGGAGGGUGCAAGCGUUUGUCCGGAUUUAUUGGGUUUAAAGGGUGCGUAGGCGGUUCUUUUAAGUCUGGGGUGAAAGCCCGUUGCUCAACAACGGAACUGCCCUGGAAACUGGAGGACUUGAGUACAGACGAGGGUGGCGGAAUGGAUGCUGUAGGCGGUGAAAUGCAUAGAUAGCAUCCAGAACCCCGAUUGCGAAGGCAGCUGCCGUAGACUGUAACUGACGUGAGGCACGAAAGCGUGGGGAGCGAACAGG
rnacentral:rRNA from 1 species